AUGUCCAGCCUUAAGAGGGCUCCAGUUCCCACAUCCAGCCCAAGGAGGGCUCCAGUUCCCACGUCCAGCCCAGUGAGGGCAACUGUUCCCACAUCCUGCCCACGGAGGGCCUCAGAAGCCGAGCUGCCUGCUCUGCCAUGGCCUCCUGAACUGUCUGCUCCACCAUGGCCUCCUAGUCUGCCUGCUCUGCCAUGGUUCCCUGAGCUGCCUGCUCCGCCAUGGCUCCCCGAGCUGCCUUCUCCGCCAUGGGACCCGGAUCCAGUAACGCCUUGGAGGCAUCCCGUCCUGUCCAAGCCUGUCCUGAGGGACCUCCAAGAUUGGUGAAGUUUAUUCUACGUCUCCUCAUCUCCUCGUCCCCUCGCUCCAGUGAAUUGUGAUUCACAAUACUGUGUCAAGACAUCCUACCAUGCUGUCUUCCUUCCCCUCUGCAACCUCAACUGCACCAUGGAUGACACCUGUUAUCAAUUUGGGGAGCAGAUCACCGCUUGUUUGAAGUGCAGCUUCUGCCUUCCUGUUGUGCACUCUGCAAUCCUUUGCAACAUUGUGAGCAUUGUUAUACUCAAUAUUCUUGUCAUUGGCAGAACCAAUUCCUUAGUGGGUAACCGCUCUAUUUUCUGACCCUGGGUGAUUUGCAAACUCACAGAAAAUUAAGGAAGCAACAAUUGUGCAUGUAUGUAAAUAAGUAUAAUUAAGUUGAAUAUUGAAGAAAAUAAAUCUAAACAUGUUCCAAGCAAGGUAAAUUAUUUUUUAUAUAAGUAUUUCUAAUGUUGAGCAAAAAUGGAUGCCCUAAUUAAUUUACAAUGACAAGCAACUGAAAUUUCAGCAUGUUGUGAACACAUAAAGAUUUUUAAGUAGCACUUAACCACAUACUCAAGCACUGGAAGGCUGAAGAAGUAACCUUGCACGUAGUGAGCUCACUUAAAGCCCGGAAGACACCAAGCCGACGAACUAGUGGCAAAGAAAGCAGACUGCGGGGUCGGCUCACGUCGGCACCGUAUGGGUCCAAAGUUGCCCUGACACACCAAACUGAGCACACCAAGUAGCAUGUCCGUUCUGCAUUUUUUCUCGUGCACUGGAUCGCCAUCUGAACAUCCAAUCAGAAUGAUCAGAUGGCCCAACUGACCGAAGAGCUCAGAUGCCGAUUCAACAUAUCGAAUAGGCCGAAAAAAGCAGACCAGGACCAACUUCAGCCGACAGUGCGGAAUACACUGAGAAAAUUUCGUUGGCCGGCAAACAAAAACUUCCCGACGUCCGACUGUCGGCUUGGUGUGUUCCGGGAUUAAGAGAGAUCCAUUGUUAUCAGGAAACGGGGUCCUGGACACUAAAAGAGAAGCUCAUUACACUAGAUAAUCUGGUAUCAUCUCGAUCCUAAUCAGCUUGUUGAUGGUAGAGUUCAGCAAAACACGCUGGAUGAUAAGCUAUGCAAUGAGUUUCCUAUGUUGAGAGAGAGAGAGAGAGAGAGAGAGAGAGAGAGAGAGAGAGAGAGCGAGAGCGAGAGCGAGAGAGCGAGAGAGUAAUCUCACAGUAAAUGAGGACCCUGGCUUUUUUUUUUUUUUUCAUUACUGGUCCUUCAUGCCAUUGCUUGUCAUAGGUGAAUUGUCUUGUCAUCUUAUUAUACUGUUUAUUUGAUUAUUUUAGGAUUUUUUUUCUUAACUAACUAAACUAAAUACUUAUUUACUUUAUAAUAAUAACACAUAAUAAUUUUAUAAUAAUUUAUAUAUAAUCUAGUUUCAAUUUAGUUAAUUUCUUUAUAUUACAUAGGCCUGCUGUUUAUUUUUUUAUACUCUUCAUAUGCUUUCACUUUAGCAAUGGGGUGGAUGUAUACCCCUAAUGUUCAAGUGAAAUUGUCAUUAAUACAAAUGUUGCUUUAUUUUGAAUUAUAAGAAGUUGUCACAUUAAAAUUAAUCUGAAAUGCACAGAGAAAAGAAGAGCCAGAAAAAGAUAGUUAAUUGCUAUAAUCACUCUCCUCCUCCACUUAGUUAUCAUUUUGUUUAAGUCUUUCACGCACACUUUAUUCAGAGCCCAUGAAACUCCUCUGCAACACUGUGCAGAAACAGUAAACAAGUUAACAUAGAAUUAAACUUAAAAAUAGAACAAAACUCUAAAUUAAGCCUUUGGCUAAAUGAAUGAGAGCACAGUCUACUGCAACUCCUCUACUUAAAGGGAUAGUUCAGCCCAAAUUGAAAAUUGUGUCAUCAUUUAUUCAUGUCUUGUCAUUCUAAUCUUGUAUGAUGUUCUCUCUUCUGUGGAACACAAAAGAAGAUUUUUAUUUUUA
ensembl:lncRNA